AACACUUUCUCCCUAUUCAAUUUUAUUUCUUCCCCUCCAAGCAUUCUUUUACUUUCUCUCUUUCUUUCUUUUUCUCUCUCUUCUUUGUGUGUGUGCGAGUCAGCCGAGCUGCGCCCAGAUCUCGUUGAUGUUGCUCGCUUUCCUUACUUCCUCGUGUCAUGGGCGCUGCUGCUACCACCCAUCGCGCACGAUCCUCUCCCUCGCUGCCCAGUCGCUGCGCACAGCUGCCCCGCGCGCGCCAGCUCCUGUCGCAACCCACCGCAAGCAAGCACAAACUUGCUGCUUGUUCGUGCACUCCUGCAUCACUCGUUUGCUUUCCAUUUGCGCCCGAUUACAUAGUUAGUAAUCGUACCGUGAUAUAGGCUGGUUAGGAGUAGAUUUCUAGAGUAGUAGCUUGAAUCGCAAAGUGGCCCCCGUUCUUAGAAUUUCAAGGUACGUGCAAGUCUAGGGUGACCACCUUAUUUCCAUGAUGAUUCAUGUGAUGAUUUUAUAUUGUGAUUCAUGUAUUUGGACUAUGUAUGGAUUCAUGUUUGAUUGUGUGAACAAGCAUGUUAUGGAUAUGGUUUAUGUUUGUCGAAUUGAUGUAAGCAAGCAUGUUAUGAUUAUUUAUGUUCGUUGAAUUGAAGUAAGCGCAAACAUGUUAUGAUUGGUUAUGUUUGUUGAAUUUGAAUAACAAGCAUGUUGUCCAACUAUGAUUAUUCAUGUAUGAUUUAUUCACAUGCAAGGAAUGUUUAUGCUAUUGUACGAUCUAAGUUAUUGUGCCUAGUUGCACUAUUGUUAUUUACCACAUAUGAAGGGAUAGCUCUUGUUAGCGACCGCAUAUGUAGGGUAGAAUUUCGAGUCAAUUGAAUUAAGGAUUCUUUCGUGCCUAGUGCACAACCCGCAUGUUAAUGUGCAUGUCGUGGAUACUAAACAAGUGUUGAGAAGGAACAAUGGGAAUAAAUUCACUAGCGUUUUGAUUGAUUGAUCACAAGUCCUAAUGAAUUAAAAAUGGCGUCUUGUUUGGUUGUCCGUUUAUUAAAUGUCUUGUUUGACUGUGUCUUGAGUCGGAUUUGUGAAUAAAAUACUAAUAAAUGUAAAGUGCAACCAGAACAAGAUUUAAAACUCUUGGAACGUAUAUACCUCGAGUAUGAACAUGGGGUGAGUCUUGCCGAAAAACUUGACUCCUAUGAAUGAUACAAGACGUUGUUUCAUUCUUUUUAAGCGCUGGAAUUCCGUCCGUAUGGCCCGACAACUAAUAUUAUUUUAGGUGUGUGGUUAGCUCUAUACACCUGUCCUUUGGACAUUUUCUUUAGGGCCGUUCGAAGCUUAUUCUAAUUACUCUACGAGUUAAGAGUCGAGUCGAGAGUCGAGUCUUAUCAUCAUGAUUGAUUGUUUAUUGAUUGGCUCUUGCAUGUGGUUUAACGAUUGUUGGAAUGAAGCAUGUUAGCAUAGGAUUUCUUUCUAGCUUGUUUGUACUCGAUUUUCGCUGAUUACGUGUUUUGUGUUGGUCAUGGCCUAUGCCUUAAUGACCCUAUGAUGAUCCUUCAAUUGCAUUCGCAUUGUUGGGGAGUAGAAUUGAUAGAGUUGACUAGCAAGAGAAGUUAUCUUGCAUGGGGAUGGUUGAACGAGUUUUUUUUUCUUCUCGUGCAUCGUUUCAAACUCUAUUUAUUUCAUUUGCCUAAACUAUGAUGUUUUAAUUAGUUAAUGGAUUUAGUUUUACGGUAUUUGGUUUGGGCCGAGAUGGUUCCAACUUGUAUGUAAACCAUUAACUAUCUUUAUUUAUUUUAAAGUUUAUUUUAUUCC